rnacentral:rRNA from 1 species
UCGGGAGUAAGACCCCUUGAAGACUACAAGGUAGAUAGGGCAGAGGUGGAAGCAUGGCAACAUGUGGAGCUGACUGUUACUAAUAGGUCGAGGGCUUAAUCUG